rnacentral:miRNA from 1 species
CCCGCCAUACGGUGCAGUGCUCCACUCUGGCCGCCUGGAAAGGAGCUCUAAGGGCUGGGCCGGUCGGCGUCCGG